rnacentral:rRNA from 1 species
UACGGGGGGAGCAAGCGUUGUUCGGAUUUACUGGGCGUAAAGGGCGCGUAGGCGGCGCAACAAGUCACUUGUGAAAUCUCCGGGCUUAACCCGGAGCGGCCAAGUGAUACUGUCGUGCUAGAGUGCGGAAGGGGCUACUGGAAUUCUCGGUGUAGCGGUGAAAUGCGUAGAUAUCGAGAGGAACACCUGCGGCGAAGGCGGCUCUCUGGAACGCAACUGACGCUGAGACGCGAAAGCGUGGGGAGCAAACAGG